GUGAGGAAUAUUGGUCAAUGGACGCGAGUCUGAACCAGCCAAGUAGCGUGAAGGAUGACUGCCCUAUGGGUUGUAAACUUCUUUUAUAAGGGAAUAAAGUGAGGGACGUGUCCCUUUUUGUAUGUACCUUAUGAAUAAGGAUCGGCUAACUCCGUGCCAGCAGCCGCGAUAAUACGGAGGAUCCAAGCGUUAUCCGGAUUUAUUGGGUUUAAAGGGAGCGUAGGUUGACAUAUAAGUCAGCUGUGAAAGUUUACGGCUCAACCGUGAAAUUGCAGUUGAUACUGUAUGUCUUGAGUGUACAAGAGGUGGGCGGAAUUCGUGGUGUAGCGGUGAAAUGCUUAGAUAUCACGAAGAACUCCAAUUGCGAAGGCAGCUCACUGGGGUACAACUGACACUGAGGCUCGAAAGUGUGGGUAUCAAACAGGAUUAGAAACCCCUGUAGUCC
rnacentral:rRNA from 1 species